rnacentral:lncRNA from 1 species
UCAAAGCCAAACAAUCGAUUGUUUGGUUUUUCUGAAAUUUUUUUUAAGUUACUGGAUCAUCCAACAAUCGAUUGUCAUAGCUAGACAAUCGAUUGUUUGGAUUUUAUGAAAAAAAAAAUUCAGUUACUGGAAACGUUUCAACUCACUGGACCUUGAACAAUCGAUUGUCAGGCUUUAACAAUCGAUUGUCUGGUAUUCCAAAAUAACUGCCAGAAUAUUUAACGUCUCAGACAAUCGAUUGUUUAAGGCAACAAUCGAUUGUCUGACUGGCAGUGACCAAAAAAUAAUUUCCAGGUCAGGCUUUAACAAUCGAUUGUCUGGUAUUCCAAAAUAACUGCCAGAAUAUUUAACGUCUCAGACAAUCGAUUGUUUAAGGCAACAAUCGAUUGUCUGACUGGAAGUGACAUAAUUUCCAGAAUAAUACAUGAUUUUCAACAUGGAUCUUAAACAUAAAAAACAUGUUGUUAUCCUUCUAAAAUCAUGCUAUUUACAAUGUUUUAACAUCAUAUUAAAACAUCAAAUCAAAAC